CCAGCACUUUGGGAGGCUGAGGCGGGUGGAUCACUUGAGGUCAGGAGUUUGAAACCAGCCUGGCCAAUAUGGUGAAACCCUGCCUCUACUAAAAAUACAAAAAUUAGACAGGCUUGGUGGCAUGCGUCUGAAGUCCCAGCUAUUCAGGAGGCUGAGGCGGGAGAGCCUCUUGAACCCUGGAGGUGGAGGUUGCAGUGAGCCGAGAUCACGCAAUUGCACUCCAGCCUGGGCAAUAAGAGUGAAACUGUCUCAAAAAAAAAAAAAAAGAAAGAAAAGCCUUCUUGGGCUGACCAAGGUGGUUCAUGCCUAUAGUCCCAGCACUUUGGGAGGCCUGGGUGGAAGGAUUGCUUGAGUCCAGAGGUUCAAGACCAGCUGGGCAACAUAAUGGGACCCCGUCUCUACAAAAAAUUUAAAAAUUACCAUGGCAUGCUGGUACCUGCCUGUAGUCCCAUCUACUCGUGAGGCUGAGGCGGGAGGAUCACUUGAGCCCAGUAGAUGGAGGCUGCAGGUAGCCAUGAUUGUGCCACUGCACUCCAGCCUGGGCAAGAGUGAGACGCUGAAUCAAAAAUAAAAGCCAUCUCACUUAAGGGCCUUCACACUAGGGCUCCAGUGGAAAAGUAAAGGGCCAAAGGGGAGUGAUGAGAAAUGGAUGCUUGGGAGAGAAGAGGCCUCCAACAAGAUUCUUCAGUCUUGGUAUGCCAAGGCUGGACAAUAAGGAGAAUUGGACCCCAACCUGAGUCCCAUUUACCCAUUGUGUACUUUUCACAGAAAUUCCCUAGGCCAUUGGCACCUGUGACAGUGAGAACCUAUACUUGGCCAUCCCAGUAACUGACCUGCUCUCCUGUUGGGAGCUCUACAUGGGACACCGGCACCUGAGCUGUAGGCCAGGACCCCUUGACAUAGUCCUCAUGACAGAUAACUCCACCCAUCUGCUAUUGGCAGUGCAACACUUUUCUCCAGGGGCGCUGUAUGAGGGGGUCCCCCGAGGGCUUAAGCUGGUUGACGGGCUAAGGAGGGUGGAGAGAAGUUGUGCAGCCACUGUCCUGAGCCAUCAAUCACAGGGGUGUGUCACAUCAGACACAAGGAAGUGCCUGGAUGGUCUUGGUGCCCAACAAGUUGCAUUGGCUGUGUCCAAACAGUGGCUGUGGAAGCCCCUCCCAGGCCAGGGGUGCGGGCUUGAGCAAUCCCUGUCCAGUGUUCUCGGGGAGCAGAAUGUAUGGUAUCUAAUACAGUCUACAACAGCAUUUGUGAGGAAUGGCCUGUGUUUGGGUGCAUGUCAUGCCAUUAAAAUCCCUAGAACUAGAAAGAAGUGGCUUCCAGAUCCCAGGCCCCCUGGGUGACUCUCAGCGUCCUGGGCCCCACAGGCCUCAGCUGCCAGAUCUGCCCCAAUGGCCAGGACUGCGUGGCAUCUGUUUCUGAUGAAACUGAACCCAGCUGUGGGGUGGAUCCCAGGAUCUCUCCCUCCAGAGGAUUUGCGCCCAGCUUGAGGUGGCCCCAAAGAAAACUGACAUGCUAGAGACUCCAGAAACCUUCUCCAUGGAUUUACCCCAUUGGGAGAGAAAAGGCCUCCAACAAGACUCUUCAGUCUUGCUAUGUCAAGGCUGGACAAUAAGGAGAAUCGGACCCCAACCUGAGUCCCAUUUACCCAUUCUGUACUUUUCACAGAACUUCCCCAGGCCAUUGGCACCUGUGACAGUGAGAACCUAUACUUGGCCAUCCCAGUAACUGACCUGCUCUCCUGUUGGAGCUCUACAUGGGACAACAGCUCCCAUGCAUUUAUCCCUCUUCAGACCUCACUGGUGAGAAGCUGGGCUUCUGGGUCCCCAUGCUGCUUCAUCCCACCUCCCAACCCUGUCUUCAGGCCCACUGCUGAUCCCAGUCUAGAACCACAGCACCGCCCCCAUCCUGCAUGAAGAAGGCCUUGUGCAUCUGCCUUGGUGAGAUCUUUCCAGGCUGACUGGUCUCUACUCCCUGGGGAGAUGAUCGAGACCAGCUCACACUGCUGUGUGUCACAUCCAUACCUUCUAUGGGAAAACUAACCCCCCUCGCCUCCUAUGUGAAGUCUCAGGCUUCAGAGCCCAUUUCAAAUGCUGUUUCUCCUAUAACCACAUAGCCUGCCAACCACUGGAUCUCCUUUCUUGUUCCUCCCUCUCCCCCAACUUUUUCCUUUUGAACUCUCAUAAUCAGAGCCAUAACCAUUUUCUGCCUUGCACUAGUUACUUGUCCUUGACUGUCUUUAUUUUCCCUUCUGAGCUGACUUUCUUGAAGGCAGGGCCCCCAACCUGAUCACCAUGCCUCAGAUAGUAUCCAGGUUUUGCCUUCAGCCCCUCAAAUAAUACAUAUAAAAAUGAACAAAUUCCAACAUUUAUCCACAACCUACUUGAUGGCCUAAAAAUGCAUUUUAAAUGGGUGUGUCUGAGGUAACUUGUGAAAAGCCCUGGGGUCAGGAGCCAAGUCCUACCUCAAGGAGCAGCAUAAAGGCUUAGUCCAGCCUAGUCCAAGGACUGCCAGGUAAAAUAGAGAACAGGCUUUGAUCAAAAUAUGGUUGGAAACAGGAUGGUUGUGAGAACUAUGGUUGUGUUCCUAGCCUGUUUCCCUAGUGGGAUUGUGGCCAUCUCUUCCAUGAUGGCCACAGACCCUUCCAUUGACAUGUGCAAGGCCGCACUGAAGGAUCGCACCUGCAAGCCAACAGAGUCUAGCAGGAACCAAGCCUUCUUCCGACUUGACGUCACCAGCCGUGGUACCUCAGUGAGGGCUGAUGCUGCUCUGCUACUACUCAGUUAAAGAAACAUUGGCCCAAGAGGACAGGCACAAGGACAGGUGGAAGAAGAAAGCUGUCCUGCCACCAGGAGAUGGCAUGGUGGUAUGGCAGUCCCAGGUCCGAGGUCAAGGGGUGGCUGGGGAACAGAGGGAGAACUUUGAGUAUUUCUGCCUGGGUGCCCUCAGCUUGACAUUCUCUCAUUCAGCAGGGCCUCAGAGAGAGCAGACAGACACUGGAGAUCCAGGCAAGAGUAGCUCAAGACAGCUGCAAAAAAGAGAAUAACCUGCUGGAGGUAGACUUUUACCCUGUCUCCCAGGGUGAGAAGGUCCAAUACCCCUCAUUGGUCAAGAAGCUGGUGAAGUUUGUGGCACCCAGAUUCAAAGAGGUGUAUCCAUACCACCUGACCCAAUCCUGCCUACACUUGGACCCUGAUGGGCAUUGUGGUGGCCAGUACUAUCCAGAGGAGAGAGGAGGAGGUAAGAGCAGGCCCCUAGCCAUGUGUCCAGUAGCAACACUGAGAAGUUCUGCCCCAAAGGUCCUGCCCACAAAGUUCUCUGCACUUUCUCCCUCCAUCCCUCCAAACAAACUCAACCUUCUGAAAGCUGCCUCAAGUCCUGACCAGAUGGCACCCUCCUGCAGAAGUCCCUGAACAGCAAGCACUCUGCAUGUCAUGCCUACAUCUCAGCCUGAGGAACUCUUGAAGAGGCCUUUCCUCCAGAGCUGAGUGAGCUCUAAGAGCUCUUUGGCCAAAAACCCCUGGCUCUUGCCCAUCACACUUGCCUAGUAUGAUAAUUUUCAGGCGUUUUAUGAAACAUUUAACAAGUCUGAUUACCCUUCUAGGAGACAGUCCUAGAAUAGAGGUCAUAUGAACCUAGAUCUUAGUCCUCCUGCCUCAGUGAGUCCCUCACCCCAUACACACCUUGAACUCAGGCCAGAAGAGAGCACUUGACCAUCUGGCUCUGGUUCCAGUGACUCCAGGACUUAUAUGCCCACAAGCCAAAAGAAGAUCAAGAUCUGAGUGGGAACUGUGGAAAGCAUGUCAUGGGAGCCCCUGCCGCCCUUGAAACUCUGCCUUCCUCCUCCUCAAAGAACAGUGCCUGAAGGUCCUGGUUGUGGCCCUGGCUGGCCAUCUUGCUUCCUGGUCACGGUGGUGGCCACUGUGCUGGUCCUGUCCAAGAUGACCUGUACAUCAUUCCAUGAAUGACACGUGACAACAGCUUCCCAGUGUAAUAAGCACAUUUAACCCAGCACUUGUCAGCACUUCCACUGUUCUGUUGGAAGUGUUCUAUCUCACUGAUCUUGCCUCUCCUAAAGCAAGGGACAACUCCUGGCACUCCGCUGCAGAGGCCCUUGAAGCCUGUUGGAAUUUUAGUGAAAUGAGAUGCCUGACUUAAGCCAUGUUGCCUGGCUUCUCAAGUACCAGCAGACCUAUUACUAGCAAGGAAGAAAGCUAGCAGCAAGAAUGGUUAUUGCAUCCUAGAGGCGUUUAGUGGAGGAGAAAACUGCCCUGGUACCGCCAUAGCCCUAAGUGCUGCCCAGAGUUCUGAGCUCUCGAUGAGCACUUGGAACACGUCUGCCUGCAGCCUCCCUACACUUUCUUAUGACUUGUCCUACUUGUCAAGCUCAGCGUGUCCCACUUCUCCACAUGAGUCUUCCAGUGACAUCUUUGUGACCAUCUCCACCCCCUAGGUAAAUGCUCCGCGCUGGGAUUCCGCAAAACACAGUCUGACUUAGAGAUUCUCUGGCAUGACUCUCUUCCCCAUUGUGUACACUGACUGCCUUAGAUGUAGGCCUCUUGUUUGGGGCCCUUCCUGGCCAGACCCUGAAGCAGCCUCUGAGGAGGGUGGUAAGAAUGGUUCCCUGGAGCCCAGUUAUGGAGUCUGUCUCCUUUCCAGAUCAUGCUGUAAUGGACUGAGAUCUCAACUCAGCCCACACUCUUUCCUGGCCUACAUAGCCGUCUCAGAAGGGCAAUGUUUCUCGCUGUUAAAGCGGGUGGUCCCUCUUGCUAACCUAGCUGAGCAUCAGAUACUGGUUAGCUGUAAGGGCUGGGAAGUGGGGGGUGUACCCAUUGGCCUUGGUGAUGAAGACAGCCAGGUCUCCAAGUCCCAGCCGGGACUCCUGCUGGGCCAUAAAGGCUUCAAUAUGCUGGCCUCUCCCCAUUGAGGACCUCAGGCCCCAGUUCAUUAUCAGGAUUUUAGAAAUACCAAGAGCAUCAAAAGAACAGAAAAGAGGCCCUUAAGGGACUACUAAUAAGAUAGAAUUUGCAUGUCCUCAUUGGACUAGAACCUGAACUGCUUUAAAAAGCAAAAGGCCCUUGGUACAAUCUGAUGGAUGUGAGUGUACAGAGAAGAGGAAACACCUCUGAGGGGUGUGAGAGGCCUCAGUAAGGAAGUUGCAAUCUGGAGCCACCUGGGCAGGUCAGAGCUCUAUAAGCAGGAGAAGCCAAGGGCAUAACACAUAGUAGUGCAGGUGUCAGCCAGGAAUCAAGGCUAUGAUAGCUGGAGUCCCAGGCCAAGAACUACAGGGGAAGGAGGAGAAAUGUUUGUUCCCCCAACUCCUAUCUCCUGCCAUGGGGGUGGACUUCUACUAGCUAUGACAUUCCUACCAUCUCUCUGCCUCUUCCCUCUCUCUUUUCUCUCUGCCCCACCCUGGGACACAGUGACUUCCCUGUUGCUAGAGGGAGGGGAUGGUGUGGGUUAAAAAAAAAAACAAGCUGCAUAGCUCAGCCCCUUCCUCUCUCCCCUCACUCUCCUGGGGGUGCCUGCUUUCAGAGUCUGUGCGGCUCUUGUCUCUUCUUACCAUAAACCCUACCUGGGCAGCAGCAGCCGCCGCCCACACCCUCCCCUACCCCCAUGGCAGUGCCUGCCACAUCCAGGACCAUUUCCGAAUUCUGAGGCUCUGUUGUUGGAGUGUCCCCUCUAAGCUGCAUCCUGCAACCCAGUCCUAUUCCCAGAGAAGCCCAGCAUCCCCUCUGGAUCUGCCUGUCUGCAUUACCGUUUGGUUCAAAACCCAGUGCUGGCUACUGGGCCUCUCAGGACACCAGGGAGGCUGGGCUGCGGAGGACUGGUGGGCGAGCUGUCCCCUCCACAUUCUGCUAAUGCCUGGGACAUGAAACUCGUUCCUGCUUCCAUGAGGCUCGUAUCCUUAAUGUCCCUUUUGACUUCAGCUAAUUCUAAGUUUUUGACCCUUGCACCUAAAUUUGGCCCAAGGCAGAAACAGCGGGGAUUGGCUUCUCUGAUGGCUGAGUCACUUGUCUUCCUGUUUUCUCCCGCAUAUUCCACUUCUUGUGGGCGUGAAUUAAAGUAGAACCAGGCAGGCGGCACUCUCCUGUUGGUGACCAGCGUUCCACAGUAAAAUGGGGUGUGACAGCAGCUGGCAGAGCAGCAGCCUGCCCGGGGCUGUGGGCCACAUCCCCCCUCCACCCCAACCAAGCAGCCUGCCCUGCCCUGCCCUGGUGCCAGGCACCAAUCAGCUGAGCAAAACAGGCUGAACUCAGGCCCUACGAGGCCAGGACAGCGCCUGUCAAGAACUCCUAUUCCCUCCAGGGCAAGAAGAGGGAGGACCGAGGCUUGCCCUGAGCGGAGGGGCUUCCCAGGACACGAGACUUUGUUUCAAAACUGAGCCCUGGGCAAAAUGGAGCAAGUUGGUCACCCUAGAGGGAGCUUAGGUUUAAGGAAAAGAAUCUGGGACUCUCUAGCUUUGACUCCAGUCUAACAUAACUCUCUGAUUGUCCCUUUAGUAAAAUAGAAAUAAUGUCAGUCUUGAAAGAAUGUCAUGAGGCUUUCAUGAGGACACAUGGAAAUGGCAGACAUUUGUCUUGCUGGAAGUUUCUCCAGUUUCCCCACCCCUAUUCCAGGUAGGUUGCUGUCCUCAGUACCUGAGGUUUUAUGUGGAAUCACCAUUCUCCUUCCCAUGAUUGUAAGUCAGAUUAUAAGCAGCAUUUGAGUAGAUGGAAAUGUGAUUAGGUCUAUGUCCCUUGUCCCAACAUUCUUUAUGCCAGCUUUCAUUCCCACAGCUCCAGCUGGAGACAUGCACCCCACAACUUAGCUGUGCCUUGGGGUGUCCUGUCUACUGCAGGACGUCUUCAGUGCCCAUAGUGUUCUUCUCCAAAUUAUGUUUCUGAGCCUUUGCAUAUUACAUCACAGGGCUGGGCCCAUGGGACUCCAAUCCGGGAGGAUGGUCCUGGGCACAAAAUUGAAUCUUGAGAUAGGUCUAAGGUUUGCCAUCAGGAUUAAUGAAAAUAAGUGUACACCGGGGAAUGCUUCACUAACUGGAAGUCACUGUUAUUAAACUGAGAACCGGAAGGGCUAGAUCUGGUCAUAAUUCUGUUAACCAACUGCAUAACCUUUAAGCCAGAACCUUUACCUGUAAAAUAAAGGAGUAGAUGAUUUCUCCAGUUCCUUUCCGCUCAAGUGUCCUAUGACUGAUUAAAAUUCUGUGUCCAUUAAGCAACUCAAAAGGAAUUAUGUCUGGCUAUCUGAAAGCUCACAGCCAGCCAAGGAGGAAGUGCACUAAAGGCGAGGCCCGGCUGCUCCCCAGCCCAGCACUGCUCGCUGCUGUGUUAAUUGACAAUGAUGGAACAAAGCACAUUUUAUGAGAGUUCAUGAGUAGGAAGUCCAAGGAGCCUAUACAUUAGUCACGUCUGAAAAUCUUCCUUGCUGGUCCUGCAAGCCAGAGGAGCUGGCCACUGCCACUUGCCCAGAUGAAGGACGUAUCGAUCCAGAAAAGGGAACAGUUAGCCAACAUUGCUUUAUUUGCUCAAUCGUAAUAAAAACUUUUUCCAGGGAGAAAACCCACAUAAAACUAUUGGAGACAGAAUUCUGGAUCAAGUCAGGCCACAACAUAAAAUUACAUGGUAACAGUGGUCUCCAAUUUGAGAGAAGCAGCAUAAUGCGCCCCAAACUCCCACAAAAACCUCAAACCCUUGACUCGGGAAAACAAAAGAAGGUCAUCUUCCAUCGGCCCUUUCCUCCACUCUCCUUCUCCCCAGACUCCCUUGUGCUUGUAUAGGGCAGGGAGGGGGAAGGAAAACAGAUCAGUUACCCCGGGAUGUCAAUCACCCUGUUGAAACUGGUCUGAGUGCCAGACAGACAACCAACAUGGCUCCUGCCUUCAGGGUCCACAUCUUGAAGAGGGAGAGGAACACAGGAAAUGGAAAAACACCCUGGAAUUAGAUGCUGGGCCAGAUGAACUGGAAGUAGUUCUUAAACUUGAGUGUGCCUCAGACUCCCCAGGGGCCUUGUGAAAACACAGAUGGCUAGACCCUACCCCCAGG